ACGUGUAUACUUUUCAACGUUUCAGUCGUUGGAAUUGUCCCAAACUGUAGUACAGAAUGCGGAUACGAAGGAUUCUAGACAUCCCAUUUGCGACUUUCGAUAGCUUUCGAUACCAUCUGAAAUUGAAAACAAGCGAUUUUGGUUGAAUGUAAACACACAAAAUCCGAAGUAAAUAAACAGAAAUAUUGUCGAUCAAGCGCAGAAAAGUGGUGUGCCCUAGUUUUGUGUUAAUCAUUUGUGAGAGGGCGAUCACACGUAAGAAGGAUUAGCUUGAGCGCAUCCCCGCAAUAUUCACGUUGGAAAUUGUUAGUUUUGUCGUAAUGAUAAGUGUAUAUAUUGUGUGUAAUUUGUUUAUCAACAUUACCCUGCAUUAGUGACAAAUUCAGGUUACACCCAAGAUGCACAACAAAUGUUUUAGCUAUGUGUAGACAAAGUGUUCGUUGUCAUAAUUUUGCAUAGUGUGAGUUUGUAUGACAUCACUUGAUCGCCUAGCGGCCUUAAUAUCGUGAGGAAUGUAAUGAAGAAUUUUUCAAACCCAAAGAUGGAAGCAGAACAACAUCAAAGCUUUGUCUGUGGUGUGACUACCAUCAAACAAGAGUCAGUUGAAACUGACCCAUCCACAUCUCCAAAUCAAGAGAUUGAAGACAUAUUCAUUAAGGAAGAAACUCUGGAAUCUUCACCUUCAGAUGAUAUUCCAUGGCCUAGCACUCAGGAUAGUGGGAAAAUGGAGGAUGAGGAUAUGGAGG